rnacentral:snRNA from 1 species
AUUCUAACCUAGCAGUGGAGAUACCAUGAUCACAAAGGUGAUUUUCCCCGGGAGAGUCUUGUCCACUGAACUCUCAAUGUGCUGACCUCUGUGAUUUCCUCAAAUGCAGGAAACUCAACUGCAUGAUUUGUGGUAGUGGGGGACUGCAUUUGUGCUCUCUCCUG